CAGAAAAUAGUUUAAAAGAAAACAAAAACUUUGGGAGUUUUAAAUUUAGGGCACACCAAUUUUC
rnacentral:tRNA from 1 species